AAGGAGCAUCUGGCACCCUGUGUUGUUUUCAACGCAGAGAUUGUCCAGGCGCCGGAUCUGAGACAGUACUUAUCACAUCGGUACGACUGGGUCUCAGCCGGUCAGCUCAUGGGUGGAACAUUGACAUUGGUGCGGAGCCGAACGGCUCGAACUUAGUACGCCUGCUUGCAGGAAGGAACAGUUCGGACCGGGGAGCCUCGCACAUGCACGCUGUUGGGUCCUGAGGGACCGGACCUCAUCGCUGUGUCUUCAAGACGCUGAGAUGAGAACCGAAUCCUCUGGACCUUUUUUGGUCGGCCAUAACUGGGCCGGCGGAAAAGGUACCGCCCGUACUUUGAGAACUACACAGUGGACGCGAGCAUCUUAGAUUCGGACCUUCGGGUUCGGAUCACAAAAGAUGAUCAUAGUACUUUCGAGUACUGAUUAGAUCAUUGGUCAAUCUGCUCACUUCGGUGAGCCGAUCGAUUCAAACUCAUGUGAUUUCAAGUUUCUAAGAGCAAACGGUGGAUGCCUUGGCAUCUGGAGCCGAAGAAGGACGUAGUAAUCUGCGAUAAGCCUCGGGGAGUUGAUAAACGGACUUUGAUCCGAGGAUUUCCGAAUGGGGAAACCCCGCUGGGCCCUUUGGGUGACCCAGUGACUCCC
rnacentral:misc_RNA from 1 species